rnacentral:rRNA from 1 species
UGGCGAACGGGUGAGUAACACGUGGGUAACCUGCCCAUCAGAAGGGGAUAACACUUGGAAACAGGUGCUAAUACCGUAUAACACUAUUUUCCGCAUGGAAGAAAGUUGAAAGGCGCUUUUGCGUCACUGAUGGAUGGACCCGCGGUGCAUUAGCUAGUUGGUGAGGUAACGGCUCACCAAGGCAACGAUGCAUAGCCGACCUGAGAGGGUGAUCGGCCACACUGGGACUGAGACACGGCCCAGACUCCUACGGGAGGCAGCAGUAGGGAAUCUUCGGCAAUGGACGAAAGUCUGACCGAGCAACGCCGCGUGAGUGAAGAAGGUUUUCGGAUCGUAAAACUCUGUUGUUAGAGAAGAACAAGGAUGAGAGUAAAACGUCAUCCCUGACGG